UAGCUUCAGGAGUAUGUAUUUCCACGACGCUGGCCGGUGUCAAACUCGAAACAAGUUCUUUAUCCGUAAUUUCUUCAAACUUAGAGGAAUCUUCAACUGCUUCGCUAAUUGACCCAGAAUGAGACUCAAAUCUGCAACUCCCGUUUAUCAUGCUGGCACGUUGCCAGUUACGAAAUGGCAUCUUAAUCGCCUAGAGAGCUACAAAUACUAUGCAGCUGCAUUUCCAUUUUCAUCUGCAUAUAGAGCAAGCUAGAUAUGUUGCAAGGAUAUAGAACUACUGAACAACAGGAAAGCUAGAUACGAUGCAUGGAAAUACAUCUCAGUAUAUGUACAUGGAAACACUGUUCAGCAGCUAUAUUUCCAAGCCC